GCAGUUCAUUUGGAGCCAAAACCCCUUUGACAUAGAGAGGGAUCUCAUGACUCCAACUUUCAAACUGAAAAGACCGCAAUUACUCAAAUAUUACAAGGACCAAGUUGAAAAACUUUGUAGUGGAGCAAAGGGUGGAAAAUUAUAAGAACAGAGCUGGAAGCAACUAUUGGAUAAAUCUAGCUACAUCACUUUCCCAAAAUUUCGAUUGCCUGAUCUUUUGUUGAUGAAAAACUACAUACGACUGUAAAAGAAUAUCUAGCCGGGAUUUACCCAUAUUGACAUUUGUUCUAAGUUUGUGUAUAGAUAAGUAAAGAUCGUAUGAAAUUUUAAUGUUUAUCCUUUCAUCCAAGAUAAAAUAUUUCUUGUUUAUUC